rnacentral:rRNA from 1 species
UCCAGACUCCUACGGGAGGCAGCAGUGGGGGAUAUUGCACAAUGGGGGGAACCCUGAUGCAGCGACGCCGCGUGGGUGAAGGAGCGUUUCGGCGCGUAAAGCCCUAUCGGCAGGGAAGAAGGAGGACGGUACCUGACUAAGAAGCCCCGGCUAACUACGUGCCAGCAGCCGCGGUAAUACGUAGGGGGCAAGCGUUAUCCGGAUUUACUGGGUGUAAAGGGGGCGCAGACGGCAGCGCAAGCCAGGAGUGAAAGCCCGGGGGCCAACCCCGGGACUGCUCUUGGAACUGCGCGGCUGGAGUGCAGGAGGGGCAGGCGGAAUUCCUGGUGUAGCGGUGAAAUGCGUAGAUAUCAGGAGGAACACCGGUGGCGAAGGCGGCCUGCUGGACUGCGACUGACGUUGAGGCCCGAAAGCGUGGGGAGCAAACAGGAUUAGAUACCCCAGUAC